rnacentral:rRNA from 1 species
AGGGCACCACCAGGAGUGGAGCCUGCGGCUUAAUUUGACUCAACACGGGAAAACUUACCCGGCCCGGACACUGUAAGGAUUGACAGAUUGAGAGCUUUUUCUUGAUUCGGUGGGUGGUGGUGCAUGGUCGUUCUUAGUUGGUGGAGCGAUUUGUCUGGUUAAUUCCGAUAACGAACGAGAACUCUAGCCUGCUAACUAGCCAACCGAUCCGCAGCGUCGGUUGCUUGUAAAGCUUCUUAGAGGGACAGGCGGCGUUUAAGCCGCACGAGAUUGGACAAUAACAGGUCUGGUGAUGGCCCUAGAGUCCGGGGCGCCCGCGCGUAUCACUGAGGAACCGCGUGCUAAUCACCUUGGCGGAGGUUGGGGAUCCAAUAACUCUUGGAUCGGAUGAGCUUGUAUUUCGCUCUGACAGGAAUCCAUAGGCGAGCCUAAGCUCGCGUGAAUACGUCCGCCUUGACCACCCCCCCGCCUAUACCGAUGAGAUAUGGACUAGAGCCACAGGUCGAAGUCUGCUUUGUG